rnacentral:rRNA from 1 species
AUUGAACGCUGGCGGCAGGCCUAACACAUGCAAGUCGGACGGUAGCACAGAGGAGCUUGCUCCUCGGGUGACGAGUGGCGGACGGGUGAGUAAUGUCUGGGGAUCUGCCCGAUAGAGGGGGAUAACCACUGGAAACGGUGGCUAAUACCGCAUAACGUCGCAAGACCAAAGAGGGGGACCUUCGGGCCUCUUACUAUCGGAUGAACCCAGAUGGGAUUAGCUAGUAGGCGGGGUAACGGCCCACCUAGGCGACGAUCCCUAGCUGGUCUGAGAGGAUGACAGUCCACACUGGAACUGAGACACGGUCCAGACUCCUACGGGAGGCAGCAGUGGGGAAUAUUGCACAAUGGGCGCAAGCCUGAUGCAGCCAUGCCGCGUGUAUGAAGAAGGCCUUCGGGUUGUAAAGUACUUUCAGCGGGGAGGAAGGCGAUGUGGUUAAUAACCGCAUUGAUUGACGUUACCCGCAGAAGAAGCACCGGCUAACUCCGUGCCAGCCGCCGCCGUAA